AGCAUGCAAGUCAAACGGGAUGUAGCAAUGCAUCUAGUGGCGAACGGGUGAGUAACGCGUGGAUGAUCUACCUAUGAGAUGGGGAUAACUACUAGAAAUAGUAGCUAAUACCGAAUAAGGUCAAUUAAUUUGUUAAUUGAUGAAAGGAAGCCUUUAAAGCUUCGCUUGUAGAUGAGUCUGCGUCUUAUUAGUUAGUUGGUAGGGUAAAUGCCUACCAAGGCGAUGAUAAGUAACCGGCCUGAGAGGGUGAACGGUCACACUGGAACUGAGACACGGUCCAGACUCCUACGGGAGGCAGCAGCUAAGAAUCUUCCGCAAUGGGCGAAAGCCUGACGGAGCGACACUGCGUGAAUGAAGAAGGUCGAAAGAUUGUAAAAUUCUUUUAUAAAUGAGGAAUAAGCUUUGUAGGAAAUGACAAAGUGAUGACGUUAAUUUAUGAAUAAGCCCCGGCUAAUUACGUGCCAGCAGCCGCGGUAAUACG
rnacentral:rRNA from 1 species